rnacentral:lncRNA from 1 species
AAGCAGGUCAUCUGGGAUGGUCACACUGGAAGUAUUGGCCGCACAGCAAAUCAAGCAAUGUCGCAGAAUAUCAAUGGAGAGGACCAAAAUGAUGGUCUUAACAAUGAUGCUAGGAACCUUCCUGGUCCUGCAGCUCCUCCUCCAAAACCUGGUGUGCCUUCAAUUCGUCCUCUUCCUCCACCACCUGGUCUUGCCUUGAAUCUACCUCGUCCUCCAAACACAGUCCAGUAUUCUGCUCCAACUAGCGGCGGUCUCCCUGCACCUCCACCAAGGCCCCCGGUUGUCCAAUAUCAAUCAAUUCGACCACCUGGACCCCCAAUGCCCAUGAGUUCU